UGGGAAUAUUGGUCAAUGGGGCGGAAGCCUGAACCAGCCAUGCCGCGUGAAGGACUGAGGCCCUACGGGUCGUAAACUUCUUUAGACGCAGAGCAAUAAGGUCCACGCGUGGACCGAUGAGAGUAUGCGUAGAAUAAGCAUCGGCUAACUCCGUGCCAGCAGCCGCGGUAAUACGGGGGAUGCGAGCGUUAUCCGGAUUCAUUGGGUUUAAAGGGUGCGUAGGCGGCCGAGUAAGUCAGCGGUGAAAGACCGGGGCUCAGCCCUGGAAGUGCCGUUGAUACUGUUUGGCUGGAAUGAUCCCGCCGCGGGAG
rnacentral:rRNA from 1 species